UGGCAGUGGGGACAAGUUUAGG
rnacentral:miRNA from 1 species